GGGAAUUGCAGUCCGGUCGCGUUUAUCCUUCUUACCAGCGCGUUUUCAGUUUCAAAGGGAAACCUCUCCAUGAAACUGGAGCGCCUGGAGAAGGGGCCCAGAGCUAG
ensembl:miRNA